rnacentral:rRNA from 1 species
GACGAACGCUGGCGGCGUGCUUAACACAUGCAAGUCGAACGGAAAGUCCCUGCUUUUGUGCGGUGCUCUAGUUGCGAACGGGUGAGUAACACGUGAGUAACCUGCCCCUGACUUUGGGAUAACUUCAUGCAACUGGGGCUAAUACCGGAUAGGAGCUCCUGCUGCAUGGUGGGGGUUGGAAAGUUUCGGCGGUUGGGGAUGGACUCGCGUCCCAUUCGAUUGAUGGUGGGGUAGUGGCUUACCAAGGCCAUGACGGGUAGCCGGGCUGAGAGGGUGACCGGCCACAUUGGGACUGAGAUACGGCCCAGACUCGUACGGGAGGCAGCAGUGGGGAAUAUUGCACAAUGGGCGGAAGCCUGAUGUAGUAACGCCGCGUGCGGGAUGACGGCCUUCGGGUUGUAAAGCGCUUUCGCCUGUGACGAAGAGUGAGUGACGGUAAUGGGUAAAGAAGCACCAGCUAACUACGUG